CUUUCAUGAGAAAUGGUUAAAACAAGUUUUUAGGAUAACUUAAGAUUUUUUCAAAAAGAUUUGAUGAAAAGAAAAAAGAGAGUAGGAUUGCCGUGUUCUAUAUCAUAUCAAAAAUUUAACCAAAUUUCACUCAAAUUUGAUGAAAAAAAGAGUAAUGUUUGGAGAUGCUCCAAGGAGUCUACAUUUUAGUGGAAAGAAGAAUUUAUUUACUUCAUAUUCUGGUUGAAGAUUUGUGUGUUGAAGGGAUCAAGAAAUGCUACUUUCUUGAUUUUCUUGGGCCGAGAGGAUUUGCAGCGGAACUUUCGUGGCGAACUUCAUGCGAGGUGAUUGGGUUCGAUCAUAGAAAAUCAAUACUGUCCAAGAUUUCAUCUGACCAUGAUUGCAGUGGGAACCUCACAUUUCAUGUUGAUAUUGAGAAGAGCAGCUCGACUGCUGUGUAUGAAUACUUCUCUGCAAAACUUUCAGAGAUGAAAUACGGUGAUGGCAAUGCCAAAAGUUUAUUAAACCCCAAAGAUCGAGAUUGCAUGGAAUUGGUUCUUAAGUACAUUGAAGAUGCAGAUCUUCGCCGAUGGAUUUUACCAAACAUUAAAGCUUUUAACAUUAGACUUGGUAAAUGGCAUUCUAUGUUGAACUGCAUCACUAAUCCACACAUGUAUGAACAGUUACUGGAGAUAAGCUCUGCAGAUUUAAUUGGCAUGGGAAUUUCUUAUAUAUCUACUCAGCAGGAUGCUGUGAAAAAAUUGCUGGAUAAGGUUUUCAAAGUUCAUUUAGGCAGAGGAUUUUAUGGGGAGUGUCUGGGAGUAAGAGCUGAUGGAAAUUCUAAUUUAAGUGAUGAAAUUGGCAAGGAACUUAGCAUAAAGAGUGCUGCUGCUGGAUUGAGGCCCAUAGGAGCUGUUGGUUACAUGCAACGAAAUAAUCUUAAAUGUGCUUAAGGAGUACCGAUACUGCUACUGAUACCUCUGAAGUUGCAAAGGCAUAUGGUGGAGGAGGUUCCCCAAGUUCCAGCUCCUUUAUAAUAAGGAUGGAUGAGUAUAACCAGUGGCUCUCAGUACACCAACCAUGAAAACAUUAAGCUUGUGCAGGGUAAGGAAAUGAUACAUUAUUUACUUAUCAUGAUGCAAAGCAAACACAUAAAUGAAGCGACUAAAAGAGACUACUCAGGCACCUGAUUUGUUGUAGCAGUUAUGAUGCUGAUUGGAAGGGUGAAAAUGAAG